AUUUUCUAUGACUGUUUGGUUAAAUUUGCAGGUCGGACAAGCUCGUUGGCCACAUUGGGUAGCUGCCGCCCUCUGCUGAGAUUGUUCACACCAUGGAUGAGAUCUCCAACACUGUUUGCUCGGUCAUUGAUUCGGCGGAGCUGUGCAGGGACACGCACUCAGAUAGGGAGUUUACGGAGGAAG